AGUCUUGGGAUUAUUAAUGAAACCUAAAGGCGAAAUGAAAGUGAAGAUCUCUUGAGAUCAAGGGAGGAUGGGGCACGUCACGGCGUGCCUCCGCACUCCCGGGGCGUCUCGUUCUCAUUGCGAGAUGAGGCGCACCUAGAGCGUAUACGCUGCAACCCGAAAGAUGGUGAACUAUGCGUGGUCAGGACGAAGUCAGGGGAAACCCUGAUGGAGGUCCGUAGCGAUUCUGACGUGCAAAUCGAUCGUCGGAACUGCGUAUAGGGGCGAAAGACCAAUCGAACCAUCUAGUAGCUGGUUCCCUCCGAAGUUUCCCUCAGGAUAGCUGGCGCUCGUAUUUACGAGUUUCAUCCGGUAAAGCGAAUGAUUAGAGGCAUUGGGGUCGAAACGGCCUCAACCUAUUCUCAAACUUUAAAUGGGUGAGAUCUCCGGCUUGCUUAAAUGCUGAAGCUGCGAGAAUUUUGAAUCAGAGUGCCAAGUGGGCCACUUUUGGUAAGCAGAACUGGCGCUGUGGGAUGAACCAAACGCAGAGUUAAAGCGCCAAAAUCGACGCUUAUGGGAUACCAUGAAAGGCGUUGGUAACUUAAGACAGCAGAAGGGUGACCAUGGAAGUC
rnacentral:rRNA from 1 species